rnacentral:rRNA from 1 species
UGGGGAAUAUUGGACAAUGGGCGAAAGCCUGAUCCAGCCAUGCCGCGUGUGUGAAGAAGGUCUUCGGAUUGUAAAGCACUUUAAGUUGGGAGGAAGGGCAGUAACCUAAUACGUUUCUGUCUUGACGUUACCGACAGAAUAAGCACCGGCUAACUCUGUGCCAGCAGCCGCGGUAAUACAGAGGGUGCAAGCGUUAAUCGGAAUUACUGGGCGUAAAGCGCGCGUAGGUGGUUUGUUAAGUUGGAUGUGAAAUCCCCGGGCUCAACCUGGGAACUGCAUUCAAAACUGACAAGCUAGAGUAUGGUAGAGGGUGGUGGAAUUUCCUGUGUAGCGGUGAAAUGCGUAGAUAUAGGAAGGAACACCAGUGGCGAAGGCGACCACCUGGACUGAUACUGACACUGAGGUGCGAAAGCGUGGGUAGCAAGCAGGAUUAGAUACCCUGGUAGUCCCUGAGCGGGCUGGCAAGGCG